rnacentral:rRNA from 1 species
CGGGCGUGGAUUAGGCAUGCAAGUCGAACGGUAUAAACCUUUCGGGGUUUAGAGAGUGGCGAACGGGUGAGUAACACGUAGGUAAUCUACCCUCAAAACGGGGACAACCCAGGGAAACUUGGGCUAAUACCGGAUGCGUGCAAACAAUGUUUUGGCUGUUGUAAUUAUUCACGGAAGUGGAUAGUUAUGAGAGUUUCAGAGCAUAAUUUGCAUAAAAGGUGGCGUAAGCUGCCGUUUGAGGAUGAGCCUGCGUCCUAUUAGUUAGUUGGUGAGGUAAUGGCUUACCAAGGCGAUGAUAGGUAGGCGGCCUUAACGGGUGGUCGCCCACACUGGGAUUGAGAUACGGCCCAGACUCCUACGGGAGGCAGCAGUCGAGAAUAGUCUACAAUGGACGAAAGUCUGAUAGUGCGACGCCGCGUGAACGAAGAAUCCUUUCGGGGUGUAAAGUUCUUUUCUAUGUGAGCAGUUCCUUUUAUAUGAAGAGUAUAGAAGGUGGGAUUUAAGCAUAGGAAUAAGCAACGGCUAACUCCGUG